rnacentral:rRNA from 1 species
UACGUAGGUGGCGAGCGUUGUCCGGAUUUACUGGGCGUAAAGAGCGCGCAGGCGGUCGUGCAAGUCGCGUGUGAAAGCCCCCGGCUCAACUGGGGAGGGUCACGCGAUACUGAUCGACUCGAAGGCAGGAGAGGGUAGUGGAAUUCCCGGUGUAGUGGUGAAAUGCGCAGAUAUCAGGAGGAACACCGGUGGCGAAGGCGGGUCUCUGGGCCGAUACUGACGCUGAGGAGCGAAAGCGUGGGGAGCGAACAGG